rnacentral:misc_RNA from 1 species
UGCAAUCAACCGCUGCAGAGUCAGCUUUUUGUUGACCGACUAGAAGUAGAAAUAUUUCACCAACAAUACAACAUGAGCGAUAGGAAUUGGAGGGUAAAAUUUAUCACAUCGGAGCUCAGUGUGUUGGUCUGAAGCACUAGGCCUUCAUAUGAACAUGGAAAUUAUAUCCUCAAUCAUUGGUGAAUUUUCAUUCUCAGACUUCCGCACCUGCAUUUUAUGAAAUAUGAAGAAAUAGCUAAAGGGUAAUUGUCUAUGCAUGUAGGGGUAAAAAGGUCUAGCAAACUCUGGAUAGAAGGCAAAAGCAUGUAACAACCAUCUGCCAUGCCUAUGAACGACUAUGGCCCUCCAGCCUUGUACAAGUUGACACGGGCUUCCAGCAGAAUCCCACACACCAUAGGAGCCGUAUGCCCACGUAGGCGCCCAUACAACAGAUUCUUAUUCAUUUUACAGCCUAAACCGAAAGCAACACUGCAACUACAUAUCAUUAACAAUUCUGUAAAUUGCUAUCCUCUCUCUGAGCAUGACUCCUAAUGCACAAAAUAACCGAUGCCCCGCACAGAUGCAAUCAUGGCCUCCUUUUCAGGUAAAGCUGCAUGCUCAUACAUUAUCAAAAGAGAGAGAAUGAUCUUCUUGGAAAAGUCUAGCAAUACUGACAAACUGUUACUAAUGUUGUCAAGCAUGAAUUGAAAUUUCAAAUUUGGUUCUGCUUGCUUAUUUAGAUAACUGCCAGUACAAGAUAACCAUGUACUAACACAAUUCAACCUCUGGGACAAAUGAUUGGAAUAACAAAUUUAUAAAGCAGAUGCAUAAUCCAUCACCCUCCAGCUACGGUAAAACAAUAUACCACAUAAAAGUAAACUUUCAACAAGAAAUUAACUCCCAUAAGCAAAAGCUACAAAGGAAUGCUAUGAAGCUCUCAAGGAAUGGUGCGCUGAUAGAGCGGCAAAGCUCCCAAAGCCUCACGU